AACCGUUAUAACCGGCGAUUUCCGAAUGGGGAAACCCAGUGUGACUCGUCACACUAUCAUUAACUGAAUCCAUAGGUUAAUGAGGCGAACCGGGGGAACUGAAACAUCUAAGUACCCCGAGGAAAAGAAAUCAACCGAGAUUCCCCCAGUAGCGGCGAGCGAACGGGGAGGAGCCCAGAGCCUGAAUCAGCAUGUGUGUUAGUGGAAGCGUCUGGAAAGGCGCGCGAUACAGGGUGACAGCCCCGUACACAAAAGCGCAUGUGCUGUGAGCUCGAUGAGUAGGGCGGGACACGUGGUAUCCUGUCUGAAUAUGGGGGGACCAUCCUCCAAGGCUAAAUACUCCUGACUGACCGAUAGUGAACCAGUACCGUGAGGGAAAGGCGAAAAGAACCCCGGCGAGGGGAGUGAAAAAGAACCUGAAACCGUGUACGUACAAGCAGUGGGAGCACAGGUUUACCUGUGUGACUGCGUACCUUUUGUAUAAUGGGUCAGCGACUUAUAUUCUGUAGCAAGGUUAACCGAAUAGGGGAGCCGGAGGGAAACCGAGUCUUAAUUGGGCGUUAAGUUGCAGGGUAUAGACCCGAAACCCGGUGAUCUAGCCAUGGGCAGGUUGAAGGUUGGGUAACACUAACUGGAGGACCGAACCGACUAAUGUUGAAAAAUUAGCGGAUGACCUGUGGCUGGGGGUGAAAGGCCAAUCAAACCGGGAGAUAGCUGGUUCUCCCCGAAAGCUAUUUAGGUAGCGCCUCGUGAAUUCAUCUCCGGGGGUAGAGCACUGUUUCGGCUAGGGGGCCAUCCCGGCUUACCAACCCGAUGCAAACUGCGAAUACCGGAGAAUGUUAUCACGGGAGACACACGGCGGGUGCUAACGUCCGUCGUGAAGAGGGAAACAACCCAGACCGCCAGCUAAGGUCCCAAAGUCAUGGUUAAGUGGGAAACGAUGUGGGAAGGCCCAGACAGCCAGGAUGUUGGCUUAGAAGCAGCCAUCAUUUAAAGAAAGCGUAAUAGCUCACUGGUCGAGUCGGCCUGCGCGGAAGAUGUAACGGGGCUAAACCAUG
rnacentral:rRNA from 1 species